UCUCCGGGGAAUGUUACAGCCGUGCCUUCACGCGCGCGUGGGACCGAGGGUGUCGCAGCACGCCGCAAGGCGGGGGAACUGUGCUUUCUUUGUUCGGUCAGGGUGCGGGGACUGCGUGCAGUGUCGUGUCUGGCGGUGGGGGAUGGGGUGCGGGGGACCACUAACGUGCUUCGGAUGUUGACGAAAUGGCUUCAAAACGACCCGUCUUGAAACACGGACCAAGGAGUCUAACAUAUGCGCGAGUCUUAGGGUGUCAAACCCCGGGGCAGAAUGAAAGUGAAGGCGGUCUCGGGCCGCUGAGGGGCGAUCCCCGCAAGGGGCGCAACCCCGACCGAUCUGGAUAUUCUUUGAAAGAUUUGAGUAGGAGCGUAUCUGUUGGGACCCGAAAGAUGGUGAACUAUGCCUGAAUAGGGUGAGGCCAGAGGAAACUCUGGUGGAAGCUCGUAGCGGUUCUAACGUGCAAAUUGAUCGUCGAAUUUGGGUAUAGGGGC
rnacentral:rRNA from 1 species